CCUANGGGCGGCAGCAGUGGGGAAUAUUGGACAAUGGGCGAAAGCCUGAUCCAGCAAUGCCGCGUGAGUGAAGGAGGCCUUAGGGUUGUAAAGCUCUUUUACCCGGGAUGAUAAUGACAGUACCGGGAGAAUAAGCUCCGGCUAACUCCGUGCCAGCAGCCGCGGUAAUACGGAGGGAGCUAGCGUUGUUCGGAAUCACUGGGCGUAAAGCGUACGUAGGCGGCUUUGCAAGUUAGAGGUGAAAGCCCGGGGCUCAACUCCGGAACUGCCUUUAAAACUGCGAUGCUUGAAUCUGGGAGAGGUGAGUGGAAUUCCGAGUGUAGAGGUGAAAUUCGUAGAUAUUCGGAAGAACACCAGUGGCGAAGGCGGCUCACUGGACCAGUAUUGACGCUGAGGUACGAAAGCGUGGGGAGCAAACAGGAUUAGAUACCCUUNUANUC
rnacentral:rRNA from 1 species